GAUGAAGAACGUAGCGAAACGCGAUAAGUAAUGUGAAUUGCAGAAUUUAGUGAAUCAUCGAAUCUUUGAACGCACCUUGCGCCUUUUGGUAUUCCGAAAGGCACACCUGUUUGAGCGUCAUGAAUACCUCAAUCUCCAUCUUUUCUUCGGAUUGAUGGGUGACUUGGAUGUUGAGCCCUGCUGGUAUGCUAUAUCAGCUGGCUUUAAACUUAUUAGCCGGCUCUGUACUGGAUCGGUUUGACUCGACGUGAUAAUAUUAUCGUUGAGGAUGCAUGUCUCAUGCAGCCGGAAAGUAUCAAAGCAGCUUCUAGCUUGCCUUUAGUGCACUUUUACAUUUUAGACCUCAGAUCAGGUGGGACUACCCGCUGAACUUAAGCAUAUCAAUAAGCGGAGGA
rnacentral:misc_RNA from 1 species